UCCGCUUUACAGCGGCAGUUUGUUCCGAGUCCCCGGCAUUAUCCGCUGGUAACAGAACAUGAGGGUUGCGCUCGUUGCGGGACUUAACCCAACAUUUCACAACACGAGCUGACGACAGCCAUGCACCACCUGUGCACCACCCUCGAAGGCGGAUGGAUUUCUCCACCGUGCAGGUGCAUGUCAAGCCCUGGUAAGGUUCUUCGCGUUGCAUCGAAUUAAGCCACAUGCUCCACCGCUUGUGCGGGCCCCCGCCAAUUCCUUUGAGUUUUAAUCUUGCGAUCGUAGUUCCCAGGCGGUUCACUUAAUGCGUUAGCUGCGGCACGGGGGGAGUCGACACCCCCCACACCUAGCGCCCACCGUUUACAGCAUGGACUAC
rnacentral:misc_RNA from 1 species